CUCCAAUCGCAAUAACGUAAAGUAUUAUUACCCGCGAACCAAUGAGUCAAAUUUAAGAAACCACCCACUGUUAGAAAGCUGAAUGGCUACGCUUUAAAAUGAAUGUAAACUUUAAAGUUUUCGUCUAUUAUUUGUUUAGCAAUUUACAUUUUAGUCGAGGAUUGCGCUUUUUUUGAUACACCCUGUAUAAUGACAUAUGUCUUUAUAAUAUAGCAUUUGUAAAUUCUGAACGCUGAUUGGCUAAGAGCCGUGUUGAUAUAACUCAAAUGUCAACACGGAAACGUCGGAAAAUUUCUUUCUUUAUGUUUCUUUGUGCUAUAUUAUAAAACAAAUAUAAAACAUUUUUUCCGUAUUGAUAUAUAGUUAUAUCAACACUCG